CUACGGGCCGCUGCAGUUAGGAAUAAUCUACAAUGCACGCAAGUGUGAUAGUUUGAGCCAGAGUGUUUUACAAUGUAAAACUUUUGCCAAAUCUAAAAAUUUUGGCGAAUAAGGACUGGGUAAGACGAGUGCCAGCCGCCGCGGUAAUACUCGCGGUCCAAGUCGCAGCCAUUUUUAUUGGGUCUAAAACAUCCGUAGCUUGCUUGAUAAGUCUCUUGUGAAAUUUUAUCCCUCAAAGAUAAAGCGGGCAAGAGGUACUGUUAAGCUAGAGACUGGAAGACGUAAGAAGUAUGUUCUGAGUAGCGGUAAAAUGUGUUAAUCCAGGACAGACUAACGAGAGCGAAGGCAUCUUACGAGGACAGUUCUGACAGUAAGGGAUGAAGGCUAGGGGCGCAAAACGGAUUAGAUACCCUAGUAGUC
rnacentral:rRNA from 1 species